rnacentral:rRNA from 1 species
AUGAUUAGCAUUGCACUACAGUACAUGGAGAUAUUUGAAAAAUUAAAGCCACGGGAAAAGAAAUUUAAGUGUUGCCCAACCAAAGAUGAUUGGAAGUUUGCAAAAGAAAUAUGUGAUAGGCUGAAGCUCUUCUUUGAUAUCACCGAGUCAUUCUCAGGCACCAAGUAUGUCACAGCAAAUCUUUUUUUCCCUAAAGUGAUUACCAUUCGCUUAGCCAUAAGGAAAUGGGGUAAGAGUGACAUUGAGCUUAUACAAAAAAUGUCUGAGGAAAUGAAGGAUAAGUUUGAGAAGUAUUGGAAAGAUAUCCAUGGUCUUAUGUCCGUUGCAACAGUUCUUGAUCCAAGGUAUAAACUUCAUAUUCUCAAUGCUCUUUAUGGCCCCCUCUAUGGAAGAGAACAUGCAGCCACCGAAAUAGAGAAGGUAAAGAAGUUAUUGAUUGAGUUGGUGAAGCAAAAUAAAGAUGAAGUUGAAGGUGAGGAUACACAUGAUGCUUCUAUUAAGGAGCCAGUUGGAGAAGAAGAUGAAGCCAUGAAACUCUAUGACAUGUAUUUGUCUAGUCGCCCCACGGUCCCUUCUUCAUCAAUCCAUACAGAAUUGGACUUGUAUUUGGAAGAAGCUAGUUUUCUUAAAAAUAGAACACAAGAAUUCGAUAUUAUCAAUUGGUGGAAGGUUAGCGGCUCGAGGUUUCCUACCUUGCAAAAACUAGCUCGUGAUAUAUUGCCUAUUCCCAUAACAUCUGUGGCUUCCGGAUGUGUGUUCAGCACUAGUGGAAGAGUGCUCAGUGCACAUCGUAGUAGACUUACUCCUAAUGUGGCCGAAGCUCUCAUGUGCAUGCAAGCUUGGUCUCGUGCAGAUAUGUUAGGUGGUUGGAACUCUACACUCUUUGCUACAUUCUAG